UUGACUGAUUAUGGGAAUCAUCUGGACUCUUGCCUAAAAGUCUUGCUCUUGAUUUUGAUUUUUUAGGACAUUUAACUGAGGGUACGUGUAAAUCGUCGAAUCUAUCCAAGCAAUCCUAAAUAUUGAAACAAAACAUCAAAUCGUUGCGUUCCAGCCAAGCAUCAUCCUUACCUUUCGGAGACUACAGACAAUGUCAGUAGGUCGUCUUUCCCAAGAUUUCCUUAACUCGAUGGACUGUAGUUCAAGAAAGAUUUCAGAAGAUCAAGUUACAAUAUGUUUAAAACCAUAGGUGGGACAACUGUGGCUCUGCAAGCCAUGAAGAGACAUUUAGCACUUUUUUCUACUUAAGAGGGAAGAAGAUGAUGUGUGCAUAUUUAUUCAUACUUAGAUUGCAUUUGUGAUCAAAAUAGAAGCCUACCACCAUCUAAAGACCAUUUAAGCUAGAAGAUGAAAGACCAAAGGGCUAAUAAUAAGAAUGCCACGUGACCAUCAUUUUCUUGGUGACUUUUGUGCCUACUUUAUUGAUGUGACUUGUUUGUUUUUGAGUGUGUUAUAGAUAUUCAGAGAUGAGAAGCUCCUGCGACUUCACUUUUAAAAUUGUAGAGUUCUUCUUUUCAUGCUGAACAUGCUUCAUGUAAUGCUUGUUUAUGCCAGCCCCUCAUAUUACUUUAUAUGAAUUAUAUGAGAAUUACACAAUCAUUUGACAGUAUAAGACUUUAUGGAUUGAAACAUAUGCCUAAAUAUUUAUUCUUUGCUUUGAAAGUAAAAUACACUAUGUCUUCAUUUUGAAGAUGCUGAAUAUAAAACUCUCUUAAAAAAUAUUGGACCUAUCAACAUCUGUUAUGCAGGCAGGGAGACACCUAUGAGGCCCCACUCCAGAGGAGACAGGCAGUUCAUUGUCACUGGGAAUGAGGCAUUUUCUUCAGUGUAGUGACAGUAAGGUGCCUAUGCCCCUGUAAUAGCCUCUCACAGGUUCCUGUAAGGAACUGCAAUAAAACUCCUGGGCCACCAAGAAGUUUUUGCAGGCAUGAACAUAGAAGGGGGACUAGUAGGGCAAGGGGUCAUCAGGAGGAGGACAAGAGGUGACAGAGUGGAUAUGAUCAGAACACCUUACACAUGUGAAUAGGAAUAAAAUGGAUCCCACCUCUGUGUAUACUUAAUAUACGCUAAUAAAUAUUUUUUUAUUUUAAGUUGUUUUGUUUAUAAUAUACUAUACUACACCACACCACACCAAUUUCUCUUGUCAUUACCAAAUACUCUCUUUGUUGAGCAAAAUUAAAUUCCCAUCCCUCCCAACCUUUCAUGCAUCCUGACUAUUGGAGAAGGCUUUAGGACCAGUCAAUGCCAGUGUUUAAAUGGAAGUUAGCUGAGCCAUAUUGUCAACGUUUUAAUUUAUGAAGGGCUCAAAAACCAUGAAGGGCUCAAAAACCAUGAAGGUGUUAUUAAAAGAUGGCCACCUGGAUGAGCUGGGCGUGGAAAGGAGCGCAGCCAGUCCUUCCCAGUUCAGAUUUGUACUCCAGGCGUUGGUCUCAAAAUACAACAUUUCUUUUAACACACUGUCCACCUUGGUUCAUAAAAAAACUCCUUUUUCAACUUCAAAUUACUCCAAAGCUUAUUUUCCCAUAGAAUUCUGAGGAUUUUGUAACUUGCUUAUGAAGUUUAGCUGUUUAGGAAUUUGUUCUAGAACUCUGAAAUGUCUUCAAUUUAUAAACCUGUUGCCCUGGUGAUAGAUUCUUUCAAACUUCUAAGUCUGACGUAGGUGGUCUGCCUUAUAAGCUAUGCUUUGCAUUUCUCGUGGUUUCCUUUUAGUUUUAUGUGUGUGUAUAGAUUUAUCAUCCUCAAGAGAGACUUUAAGGAAUAUGUAGUCGCUGCACAGCUCUGACUGUCCAGACUGUUAGAAGAUGCCCAGGAAGCACCAGACCCACAGAAGGCCACCACUAAGAGAAGAUAAUACAAAGCGACAACAACAAAAGCAUAGGGGAAAAUAGACAGAUAUAUCCAUUGCAGCAGAUGUACAAAUUACAGUGUAGAAAAAACACACAAAAAGAAAGCAUGAAAAGCAAGUGCAUAACAUCCCAGUAGCUGGGAUUGUUGCUGAAAUGAUGAACAAGCAAUUUUUUAAAAAAAUCAAUUUUUAAAAAUGACCAAUUACUUCAAAAGAGACUUAAACAGAUGAAUGAAGUAUUAUCAUCCAAGGAUGAGGACAGCACUGGUUUUGAGAGCUUGGAGCCCAAGACCAGUGGUAGAAUAGCCCCUGAAACAACUUACCUGUUAUUCACUGAUGAAGAGCCCAAGAACUGAAGUUCCAGCAUGUACUUGAUAUCCACACUGCAUUAUAAGUCAUGGUUAUU